rnacentral:lncRNA from 1 species
ACCGUUGCAACAGCUGCCCGGGAUGCUUUCUCACUGUGGCACGUACUCAGCACCCGGGUAAAGGUUGGCCACAACUGUGUUACAAGACACAGGUGCUUCUAUGCCCCUUAAUUUGCAACAACGCAAGCAAGAAGCAGCCAUAUAGGUACCACAACUCUCAUGCCACCCAUUAUUCUCUCUCUUUCUCUAUUUACUCUGUUUUCGCUUUUGCUUACGACUAUGUGUGUAUAGUGAGAGAGAGGUUUAUAUGGCUGGAAAGAAGAGACUAGAGAGUGUGGCGGGUGGUUGAGGGAAGAGUGAGAGGGUCAUUGAACGCAACCUUCACCC